rnacentral:rRNA from 1 species
AUGGAGAUUAGUCCUAUAUGCAAAAGGAAAACGGAGAACGCCUCCAACACGAUAGCCAUGGGUGCCCGACCCGGAUUUCACAUAUUCUUCGGUGUCAUAAAAAGGAAGCCUCGACCGGAUCACAUCGCAAGUUCUAAAGACAAACGGUCCAAUGUCGCCUCCUCCAACUUCGCGGGAAGACCAUCCACCGUUGUCUCUGUGGACUUCGCUGCAAGACCAUCCGCCGUUGCCUCCGCCGACUUUGCCGGAAGACCAUCAGUUGUCAUCUCCGCCUACUUCGCCGCAGGUAUCUUUUUUUUUUUUGCAAAUUAUGAUGCAACUAUUUUUGAUUUACAACCAGAGCUUACUGAUGGUUAUAGGAUGAAAAAACGCGCAUAUAAGUUGCAAGAUUUUGAAUAG